rnacentral:rRNA from 1 species
UACGUAGGGGGCAAGCGUUGUUCGGAUUUACUGGGCGUAAAGGGCGCGUAGGCGGCGCGUAAAGUCGGACAUGAAAUCAUUGGGCUUAACCUGAUGGCUGUGCCCGAUACUUACGUGCUUGGAGUGCGGGAGAGGCAAUCGGAAUUCUCGGUGUAGCGGUGAAAUGCGUAGAGAUCGAGAGGAACUCCGGUGACGAAGGUGGGUUGCUGGACCGACACUGACGAUGAGGCGCGAAAGCUAGGGGAGCAAACAGG